rnacentral:rRNA from 1 species
GAAUAAGGGCUGGGCAAGACCGGUGCCAGCCGCCGCGGUAAUACCGGCAGCCCAAGUGAUGGCCGAUCUUAUUGGGCCUAAAGCGUCCGUAGCUGGCCGCGCAAGUCCAUCGGGAAAUCCACCUGCUCAACAGGUGGGCGCCCGGUAGAAACUGCGUGGCUUGGGACCGGAAGGCGCGACGGGUACGUCCGGGGUAGGAGUGAAAUCCCGUAAUCCUGGACGGACCGCCGAUGGCGAAAGCACGNACGUCGCGAGGACGGAUCCGACAGUGAGGGACGAAAGCCAGGGUCUCGAACCGGAUUAGAUACCCGGGUAGUCCUGGCCGUAAACAAUGUCUGCUAGGUGUGGCUCCCACUACGAGUGGGUGCUGUGCCGUAGGGAAGCCGCUAAGCAGACCGCCUGGGAAGUACGUCCGCAAGGAUGAAACUUAAAGGAAUUGGCGGGGGAGCACUACAACCGGAGGAGCCUGCGGUUUAAUUGGACU